GCAGCCCACCCCCUUUCUCUCCAUCUCUUUGGAAGUAUAUCUUCAUGUGUGAGACAAUAAACUUUGGAACUUCUCUCUGAAAGCUGACUCGUGUGUUUCAUUGAGACUUUCCCGUAUACGUAGGAGAGCAGAGAUCGAGAGGAAAGGCUGAAUUCAGGGGUAUCCUGUCCAGGGGACAGAAGGCAAUCCUGCCCAAGCGUCAGAGGAUAAAACAUUCCUUACAGUUCUUGGGGGCUCGUCCGGGAUAUCAGUGUUCGGAAGCAUAGCCUUUUGACCUCCCCAUAAGUUCUCUAGGAGAUGUGUAUCGGUUCCUGUUCCCCUCUGUCAUCAUCUAUCAAGGUCCAGUGACAACUCCUCAGACCUUUCUGUGCCAACUCUUCAGGCAUCCUCACAACUGCAGGAUGUGUCAAGGAAAGCUGCGAGGAACGGAACAACCUCUCAUCAAUCAAGGGAAGUAACACAACCAGUGACCGGUAUGGUUGUCUUUCUCAUCAGUCUUGGGGCUGGGAUUCCCGCCCAGGCUCACCCACACGACAACACCUUCUGGCAAUACGCCAACUAGACGGCUCGUCAGCACACAGCAGGUCCAUGCUACGUGUGUCAGCUCCGUACAUUUCUUUGAUAAUCCCGACUGUCAUUGUUUUUCUGUUACUAUGCUUAUUUGGACCAUGUAUUUUUAAUGUAUCCAGCAAUCACUCA